rnacentral:misc_RNA from 1 species
UCAACCAGGUAGCAUCAUUAACAGCGUCAAACAUCACACUAGAGCCCUCGACUACCAGUGUAAUGUGACGGUCAAAUGUAUCAAAAGCGUAAGACGCUUUUUAAGGGCAAAUAAUCAAAACUUUCACCAAGUCGCCCUCAUUGUAUUCCACAUCCGAUAACACGAGCUAGUGCCCUACAAGACUCGUCACUAGGACAUWAAAGCCCAAGUGACCAGAUUGCAAGGGACUGCUGAAUUGUCCAUCUUAAAACCCAAAAGGAUCAAACGUUAGACACGCAACAAUACGGAUUCAAGUUCCAUCUCGCUUGGUAAGAAACACAGGGACCACGAAGCCCAGGUCAUAAAUGUACCUAUGGCUUUACUGAAAAAUCACACAUCAACGAUUCCCAGCACUAGCAAGGAGCUCAU